AUACUCUGGUUUCUCUUCAGAUCGCAUAAAUCUUUUGCCUUUUACUAAAGAUUUCUAUGGCAGGGAACAAUUCUGAGUGUUUACCCAUUUUUUUGAGGUCUUGCAUUUGCAAGGCU